AGGGCACUUACCUGCUUGUAAACCUAAUUAUACCUGUAUGCUGCGUUGGCUUAAGGGUACAUGUCUGGUGCACUUGCUGGUUUUGAGCCGAUGAUGAUGAAAUCAUGCAUUGCCAAAAUGGAACAGAGUGAUAGAGCUAGUGGAAGCAUAUUUUCGAGUGAGCCUGCAAGGAGUUUGGCGAAAGGGAAUCCGGUACUCAUUCCGGAACCUGGACAUGAGGAGUAGUGUUGCUUUAUGCUUCACAUAGCCGCAAGGCGUUUACCAUCCUGGAGAAUCCAACCAGAGAGCCGGGAAGAGUUGUCUUUUCUGCUUAAGGGGAAGAGGGCCUUGUGAACUGGGUCGGUCAGAGAUAGGGUCUUUUCCCCGAAUAGCACCGCGGUUCUUGCGGAGUCCAGCUCCUCUGGUAUGGAACUUGAAAAUCCAGGGGUAAGAUGAAAUACCUUCAUGCCAGUUCGUACCCAUAU
rnacentral:rRNA from 1 species